rnacentral:rRNA from 1 species
GCAGUGUAGCAAUACAUGGGCGGCGACCGGCAAACGGGUGCGGAACACGUACACAACCUUCCUUUCAGCGGGGAAUAGCCCAGAGAAAUUUGGAUUAAUACCCCAUAGUAUAUUGAUCAGGCAUCUGAUUAUUAUUAAAGAUUUAUCACUGAAAGAUGGGUGUGCGGCUGAUUAGAUAGUUGGCGGGGUAACGGCCCACCAAGUCUGCGAUCAGUAACUGGUGUGAGAGCACGACCAGUCACACGGGCACUGAGACACGGGCCCGACUCCUACGGGAGGCAGCAGUAAGGAAUAUUGGUCAAUGGACGCAAGUCUGAACCAGCCAUGCCGCGUGGAGGAUGAAGGCCCUCUGGGUUGUAAACUUCUUUUAUCUGGGACGAAAAAGGGCUUUUCUAAGUCAACUGACGGUACCAGAGGAAUAAGCACCGGCUAACUCCGUGCCAGCAGCCGCGGUAAUACGGAGGGUGCAAGCGUUAUCCGGAUUCACUGGGUUUAAAGGGUGCGUAGGUGGGUUGGUAAGUCAGUGGUGAAAUCUCCGAGCUUAACUUGGAAACUGCCAUUGAUACUAUCAGUCUUGAAUAUUGUGGAGGUCAGCGGA